rnacentral:tRNA from 1 species
AUUUAUAUAGUAUAAAAAUUAUUUUAGACUUCCAAUCUAAAGAUCUAAAAAAAAAUUAGUAUAAAUA